rnacentral:pre_miRNA from 10 species
CGGUGUUAAUAUAAAGCAAUGACGUAACGAAAAUUCACGGUCAUGCAUUCAUUCACGGACCGUGAAUUUUCGUUACGUCAUUGCUUUAUAUUAACACCGCUGA